rnacentral:rRNA from 1 species
UAAGCGGAGGAAAAGAAACUAACAAGGAUUCCCUUAGUAACGGCGAGUGAACCGGGAAGAGCUCAAAUUUGAAAUCUGGCUGUCUUCGAUAGUCCGAGUUGUAAUCUAUAGAAGCGUUUUCCGUGCUGAACUGUGUAUAAGUCCCUUGGAACAGGGUAUCAAAGAGGGUGACAAUCCCGUACUUUACACAAUCAUCAGUGCUCUGUGAUACGUUCUCUACGAGUCGAGUUGUUUGGGAAUGCAGCUCAAAAUGGGUGGUAAAUUCCAUCUAAAGCUAAAUAUUGGCGAGAGACCGAUAGCGAACAAGUACCGUGAGGGAAAGAUGAAAAGCACUUUGGAAAGAGAGUUAAACAGUACGUGAAAUUGUUAAAAGGGAAACGAUUGAAGUCAGUCGUGUUUAUUGGAUUCAGCCGGUCUUCGGUGUACUUCCUUUAAACGGGUCAACAUCAGUUUUGUCCGGUGGAUAAAGGCAGUAGGAAUGUGGCUCCCUCGGGAGUGUUAUAGCCUAUUGUCACAUACACUGGAGGAGACUGAGGACUGCAGCUCGCCUUUUGGCCGGGGUUCGCCCACGUUCGAGCUUAGGAUGUUGACAUAAUGGCUUUAAACGACCCGUCUUGAAACACG